UCUAUCUCAGGCCUGCCUAGAUACUAUGGGUGGGGUCACUACUGGUACUCUGCCCACAUCCCUUUCCAAGAGGAUGAGUUUGUAGCUGUGCUAAUGAUGUUGCCUGUGAACUUCUGAGGCCACCUAACAUUAGUUGCGAAGGCUCCAGAUCUAAUUUGCAGGGCCAGCUUUCCCAUUCCUGUGACAUGGUAGCUGCCUCCAGUACUAGGCUUCACAUCUGCAUGCAGUUAUGUCUAAAGAAGAAAAGACCAUCUUCCCCCUGUAUCUUUCGUUGGGAGCAAGACAAUCUUUCCCUGGAGCCACCUGCAGACAUCUCAGUUGCACUGGUCAGAAUGACAUCAUAUGGCUUUCUCUAAACCAGUUCCUAUGAAGUACUGAGGAGCAAAUCCAGAGCCCUGCAGACAAGAGGCAAGUACUCCAGCACUGUUACAACCCCAGCUUUUAAAAUUUUGAGGCAAGGUCUCACUGAAUUGCCCAGAUUGGCCUCAAACUUGUGAUCCUCCUGCCUAAG